rnacentral:rRNA from 1 species
AGAGUCUGAUCAUGGCUCAGGAUGAACGCUAGCGGCAGGCCUAAUACAUGCAAGUCGGACGGGAUUCAGGUGCUUGCACCUGAUGAGAGUGGCGCACGGGUGCGUAACACGUAUGUAACCUACCCUUUUCAGGGGGAUAGCCUCUCGAAAGAGAGAUUAAGCCCGCAUAACAUUGAGACACGGCAUCGUGAUUCAAUCAA